rnacentral:rRNA from 1 species
GCAAGUCGAGGGGCAGCAUUACUUUCGGGUAGAUGCGACCGGCGCACGGGUGCGUAACGCGUAUACAACCUACCCUUUACAGGAGGAUAGCCCGAAGAAAUUCGGAUUAAUACUGCAUAGUAUGAAUUAUUCGCAUGAAUGAUUUAUUAAAGAUUUAUCGGUAAAGGAUGGGUAUGCGUGACAUUAGGUAGUUGGUAAGGUAACGGCUUACCAAGCCAUUGAUGUCUAGGGGUCCUGAGAGGGUGAUC